rnacentral:rRNA from 1 species
GCCUAAAGCGUCCGUAGCCUGUUCUAUAAGUUUCCGGUUAAAUCCAUUAGCUCAACUAAUGGGCUGCCGAAAAUACUGUAGAACUAGGGAGUGGGAGAGGUAGACGGUAUUCGGUAGGAAGGGGUAAAAUCCUUUGAUCUAUUGAGGACCACCUGUGGCGAAGGCGGUCUACCAGAACACGUUCGACGGUGAGGGAUGAAAGCUGGGGGAGCAAACCGGAUUAGAUACCCGGGUAGUCCCAGCCGUAAACGAUGCAGACUCGGUGAUGCGCUGGCUUGUGGCCAGUGCAGUGCCGCAGGGAAGCCGUUAAGUUUGCCGCCUGGGAAGUACGUACGCAAGUAUGAAACUUAAAGGAAUUGGCGGGGGAGCACCACAAGGGGUGAAGCCUGCGGUUCAAUUGGAGUCAACGCCAGAAAUCUUACCCGAAGAGACAGCAGAAUGAAGGUCAAGUUGAAGCCUUUACCAGACAAGCUGAGAAGUGGUGCAUGGCCGUCGCCAGCUCGUGCCGUGAGGUGUCCUGUUAAGUCAGGUAACGAGCGAGAUCCUUGCCUCUAGUUGCUACCAUUACUCUCAGGAGUAGUGGGGCGAAUUAGCGGGACUGCCGUAGUUAAUACGGAGGAAGGAGAGGGCCACGGCAGGUCAGUAUGCCCCGAA